rnacentral:rRNA from 1 species
GAUGAACGCUGGCGGCGUGCCUAAUACAUGCAAGUCGAGCGAACAGACGAGGAGCUUGCUCCUCUGACGUUAGCGGCGGACGGGUGAGUAACACGUGGAUAACCUACCUAUAAGACUGGGAUAACUUCGGGAAACCGGAGCUAAUACCGGAUAAUAUAUUGAACCACAUGGUUCAAUAGUGAAAGACGGUUUUGCUGUCACUUAUAGGUGGAUCCGCGCCGCAUUAGCUAGUUGGUAAGGUAACGGCUUACCAAGGCGACGAUGCGUAGCCGACCUGAGAGGGUGAUCGGCCACACUGGAACUGAGACACGGUCCAGACUCCUACGGGAGGCAGCAGUAGGGAAUCUUCCGCAAUGGGCGAAAGCCUGACGGAGCAACGCCGCGUGAGUGAUGAAGGUCUUCGGAUCGUAAAACUCUGUUAUUAGGGAAGAACAAAUGUGUAAGUAACUAUGCACGUCUUGACGGUACCUAAUCAGAAAGCCACGGCUAACUACGUG